GUGCUUACUUCAGCAGCACAGAUGCUGAAAUUGGAACAAUACAGAGAAGAUUAGCAUGACCUCUAGGCAAGGAUGACAGGCAAAUUUGUGAAGUGUUCCAUGUUUAA
ensembl:snRNA U6 U6 spliceosomal RNA